UGAGCUCUGUCCAGAGUUAGCCCUGCUAACUGAACUGUUCUUUCUCUGUUUACAGGGGCUGGAGGCUGCUUGUGAAAUGCAGCAGAACUCCAGCCACAAAUCAUUAUGGUCAGCCCCAACACCAGGAUUCUUAGCCUAGGCUGCUGGAACCAUUGUAUGAACCAGAUAUAAAGGACAGUGAAGCCCCUGUUUCCUAUCCACCACAAUUCUCUAAUGCUUUCCAAAACACUCCAAAUGAGCAGGGCCAUAAGGAAACUCCAGUGAGGAAUUCUGUAGGGCUCAGAAAGUGUCAGUGACAAUCACAUUCAAAGUCACAGGCAGAGCGUGCCAAGUGCCUGGCAGAAAAUGUGCUGAGGAAACGUUGACUAUUCUGAAUUCCAGAUGGUAGAGUCAAGUUGAACCAAGAAAAAAAAUCAUAGCAGUCACCUGUUGAACCCAGAUGAACUCAGUGAUAAACUGUCUUGUUGACUAUUAUGGUCACACUGGGCCUACCUAUAUAAGCCAGAACACUUUCUGCAUUUCAAGAACCAUGUCUGGGC